rnacentral:rRNA from 1 species
ACAGGGAUUGCCCUAGUAACGGCGAGUGAAGCGGCAACAGCUCAAAUUUGAAAGCUAGCCUUCGGGUUCGCAUUGUAAUUUGUAGAGGAUGAUUUGGGGAAGCCGCCUGUCUAAGUUCCUUGGAACAGGACGUCAUAGAGGGUGAGAAUCCCGUAUGUGACAGGAAAUGGCACCCUAUGUAAAUCUCCUUCGACGAGUCGAGUUGUUUGGGAAUGCAGCUCUAAAUGGGAGGUAAAUUUCUUCUAAAGCUAAAUAUUGGCGAGAGACCGAUAGCGCACAAGUAGAGUGAUCGAAAGAUGAAAAGCACUUUGGAAAGAGAGUUAAAAAGCACGUGAAAUUGUUGAAAGGGAAGCGCUUGCAAUCAGACUUGUUUAAACUGUUCGGCCGGUCUUCUGACCGGUUUACUCAGUUUGGACAGGCCAGCAUCAGUUUCGGCGGCCGGAUAAAGGCUCUGGGAAUGUGGCCUCCACUUCGGUGGAGGUGUUAUAGCCCAGGGUGUAAUACGGCCAGCCGGGACUGAGGUCCGCGCUUCGGCUAGGAUGCUGG